UACGUAGGGUGCGAGCGUUGUCCGGAAUUAUUGGGCGUAAAGAGCUCGUAGGCGGCUUGUCGCGUCGGAUGUGAAAGCCCGGGGCUUAACUCCGGGUCUGCAUUCGAUACAGGCAGGCUAGAGUUCGGUAGGGGAGAUCGGAAUUCCUGGUGUAGCGGUGAAAUGCGCAGAUAUCAGGAGGAACACCGGUGGCGAAGGCGGAUCUCUGGGCCGAUACUGACGCUGAGGAGCGAAAGCGUGGGGAGCGAACAGG
rnacentral:rRNA from 1 species